GCUAAAUCCUUUAGUGUUCUUGUAAUCUCUUCCUAACCUACCAUAAAGUUCUGUUGGUAACAACAUUUCUUUAGUUUGGGGUUGCUUUCUGUGGUGCUUUCCAUUUUGGACCCCCCCAUAACCCCUCUGAUGGGGCUGGCACAUGGCCCAGAGAAGCCUGUGGGGAUCCUUGCAUCAGGCCUUCAAGUCUGAUGAAAGCUGGAAGGACUCUUGUUUUCCCCUGUUGUCUGGGGGAACUCAUGUACAGAUGAUGCCACUAGGGAGACACAAAGCUGAGACAGAGAAGGUGACCAUGGUCUGAUGACCUGCUAGGCUCAAAAGCAGGUUUGUAGUCACAGGAACACUUUCAGUCCCUGGCUAAUCCACUUUGAGCUGUGUUUCUGUCGAUGUGAACUGAACUGUCCCCGUCUGAUGCAGGUGACUUUGAUUCAUUCAGAACUGUCUGUGACAUGAAUGUUAAGAAGGAAAUUACUCCCGUGCCUUUGGAUUCACCAUUCGAAUUUUAUUUUCUAGGAUUCUAGGGAUGUCUAGCUUUACCCUGUGUAUAGAGACUUAUAGACAAUUGGAUGCAGUGUGCAAAAACAGCUUUGGAAUAAAACAACAACAACCUACCUGUUUCCAAAUUAUGUUGCUGUUGCUGCUGCUGCUGCUGCUGCUAUUGCUGCUAACUCCAGGAUAUCAUUUAAUAUCCCUGAUUUUUCUCUUUCUGGUUUCUUUAUUCUGCACAUUUUAUAGGUAAGGAAAUGGAAGCAUAGAGAGGGAGGCAAGAGAAAUCGCAGAGAGUCAUCCAGGGGCUUGAUGGAAACCUGGGACUUCAACUACAUUCAUGUGACAAGAUGUAGGGAACUGAAGAGUGUCACUAGAUUCUCAUUCCUGGCUGUGGAUUGAGAGGAGAUGUAGCUAGACCAGAUGGGAGAUGUGAUGCCUUUUUCUGGCCUCUGAGGGCCAGAGUUGUAUAUAGUGCCAUCUGGCGGCGAGUCCUUCCACCUUCAGUGACGUGUUCUCAGGCAGCUGUGUGGAGAGUGCCAAAGGGCUGGGACGCCCAGGGAAAAGGGAAAGUAGGCUGCUCAAGUGAAUGGAUGAAAGAGAGAAUGGAACUCCACCACUCCAAAGGACAAAAGUCUGGGGGAAAGAACCAAGGGAAACGUGAACCAGCUCCCCUGGGGAAAUUCUGGUCGCCAAGAAUGUUAGAGGAGAGCAGCACUUCUCUUGGUCAGCUCAAGGUCACUCACUGUAACGUCAGAGGUGGCAGCUCCUGGGGAUCACAGAACUGAACAAUGACAUUUAUGCGUCUCAGUAGCAGUCCUUGUCCUUAAUCUGUCUGGCCAGUGAAACAAUAAAGAGGGCAUUUUCGACCUGGGAUGAGGUGUCAGGACUUUGGGAUACACCCGGGCACUGGGAGUAGAAGACUUGUCACAGGGUCUUAUCACCAGGUCUUACCCC
rnacentral:lncRNA from 1 species